UGCUCUAGCACUCGGCAGACACACCCUUGCAAAGAUAGCUGACAUUUUUUCAGCACUGGCCGUCAUGCUUCAAUGGAUGCCUGCCUCUGUGAUAAAGUGAAGAUGCAGAGUCCUAUCUUGAGGUGGAAGCUGAUACCUGUGGCAGUACAGCCACUGUAGGGGUCCGGGCAAGGCUGAAGAUGUGACACCAUCUAGCAUGGAAUAAAGACCAAGGAUUUGAAAGUGGCCAACAACAGCACUGGAGGCAAACAGCACUCUUGGCAAGGCUCCUGUUGUGUCUCCCAGCUCUGAAAUUGGACAGUGUUCUUGGCAUGGUACGCUCAUUCAGACCCACACAUUUAGUUAGGCAUGGCCAGCAGAGGAGAGGUUGAUGACAGAGGACAAGUUCCAAAGAAACAAGAUUGAUGACUCCUCCUGAGAAAGUGCACCAAAGAGCUGAAGCCUGAAAAGACUGCAGAAAUUGCCCCCCUUCCUCUCGCUCACCACCAUCCAGCCUCCUUCCCUUGAGGACACUUGCUCUGUCAGCAAUGCUUCAGAGAAGAUGGCAGAAUUGCUCUUUGCCUGAGGUUGGUAUGCUGAAUUUAAGUUCCAGAAAAGUUGCAAGGAUUCCCAAAGGGAAAAGCUUGAAGUUCCUUCUUGCACUCAAGAGACAAUGUUUUUUUGUUUUUGUUGUUGUUGUUGUUGAAAUAUCACAUUAGAUUAACACAAUGGUGAAAAGAACUGUAUAUUUUCUUGCCCAGCUCUUGCCCAGCCUGCUACAUAUAUCAUCUCAGUUUGGUUUCUUUCUUGUUUGUGUAUUUUUUUCCCCCUGUAGUUAAUUUUCUGCCUCUCAUGAGCUUAGAGAAAGGAUAGCGAUCCACCCCAGCUCAAACCAAGUACCGGGGAAAGCACCAUCCAGUUCAUCUGACUCAUUGUAUCAACCCUAAAGAUUUAUUGUUUUUAACCUACAAAUCUCAAGACACUGUACAGGAGAUCUGCAAAAGAGGCAGUUCCUGGACUGGCCUCUCAUCCAGCAAGCCAGCAAGCAGCAGUUCUCAUAUGUGGGCAGCAGCAGUGCAGCAGCCUCAGUUCCUCUUUCCUUUUCUGCAGCAAUCAGAAGCCUUUACCAAAAACCACCAGUGCAUCAGCCCUACCCACCUAUAGCCCCGAGCUGCUGGAAAAUGGAAGCAAAAGCAGCUCUCAGAUGAUGAAAUUUCAGCUGUCGCUGUCAGACAGUUGGAUGAGGUUAACAGAAACAGUCCUUAGAAGUAUGCAGAGAGCUAUCUCAUAUCAAUUAAGCACGCUGUUAAAAAUUAGAAAAACUACCAACUCGUCAUCAAGAUGCUGCUCAGAGCUGUGAUUUGACUUCUGCAUUUCUUAAGCACAGAUGAUUAAAUUGAAGACUAAAUAUGAAGUAAGGACUGCUCGCAGUUUAACAACCUUUUCUUUCUUUUUUUUUUUUUAAGUAGAAUAUGAUAGGUCUGAAAUGCUCUGUUCAAAGAAAAUAAGGUCAUUUGAAAUUGCUCGAUCUGUCAAUCUGGAG
rnacentral:lncRNA from 1 species